UCUCUGCUUCACAUUACUCAGUGGCAGACGGAGCAGGCUGCCAGCGCCCAGCGUGUCCGCCCACACACCCCUGCCCCGGCGCCGCCGGUCAGACCUUUCGGCUAGAGGAGAUGAUGGAGAGAAUCUGGGAUCCAGGAGGGGGGUGGAUCCAGAGGAAUCCGAGACAGAGGCCCAGGUACUAGCCUCACCUCCAUCCUACAGGCAGAUCCACGGACAGCCCUCUAUGACAUGAGGCAUACACGGGAAUGGAUCCCUGAGGAAUACUAAAUGUGGUCAUACGGCAGUCACGCAGGAGAAGCCACCAGCACCGGCUAUGGUAAAUGGCAGCGUCUCCGGACCUGAGAUGGACGAGCAACCUUAAGACUACCCCACGCUGGGCUGCCCUUCACAAUAAUAAAAAGCCAUUACCUUGACCGCUGACACGAGGCCAAGUGUGAGGGUCAGAGUGAUAUUUAUUGAUGAAACUCUGAGCUCCCAAUCUGCUGCACUCAGUGCGCAUCAUACAGCUGUCAGCACAGACAGGGAUCAGGCUGCGUGAUGGCCCUCGACAUGGCCCAUCUAUAAUUUAUGAACUACACAGAAAACAACCAGGAGACAACAGAAGAAGCUCCUGUCUGCCCAGGGAUUAUUCUCCAGCCCAGCUAAGUGAGAACUAUGUGAGGGCCAGCGUGGGCCACACUGAUAUGGGCAGCAGGUAAGUACAACACUACUAGCGUUACAUAUUCAAUAGGGCCUCACCAAGCCGGGAGCUCCAUCUCUCUGGAGGACAGGCCCGGGGUGUGAAGAAUAUAAUAGACAGUGUUUACAGUGGGGAUGUAAAGUGGGUGCGCUGGUGCAUCACACAACCCAGCACACUUCAGCUGAGCCCUUUAAAUGAGCUGACGCUUUAACAAAAGAUGUAAAGUUUUCACUCUUCAAAGUACACAAAGGAGAUCGCCUGAGGGCUACAGUCGCCAUCGACUCUGUCCAAGGAGGUGAUCACAUGAUCUGGAGACUCCGGUGGUGUGCAUCUAUGGUGAGGGUUGAUGUUGGGUUCCUGAAGUGUGGCAUCAUGGGUCAAAGGUUGGCUGAUGUGGGACUGUUAGAACACUAUUGACUAUAGACUACUUUAUGUUCAUGUAAAUAAUAUUGGACUACUCCCUCUAUUACAAAUAAUACUAAGUUCUAGUACCAAUUCUACUGCCGCUAAAAUGACUAUGACUGUGUACUGUUGUAGCGAAAACAUAUUCCAGUACUCCUUUCCGAAUACUUCACUGGUGAUAUGGUGUUUACUGUCAUUAUUUGACUAUCUCUUUGUCCUCCGUGUUAUUUUUGCUGCAGAAACUGCGGGUGUUGCUUCUCUGGAGAAAACUUGAAAUGCAAUCCUUCAUCGACCCAUUUCCCUGACACUCUUCUUUUUACCCGCCGAAUUCAUCUGAAUUCUUUACAUAGACUGACACAUAUUGUCUGUGAUCAAUAAAUAAACAUAUAAUUGAAUACUGUUGCAUUCCCAAUGAAGCCCUCAUUUACCAAGCUUCAGUAAACAGGUUAACUAUCUGUCUGCCUCUCUAAGGCUGACAUUUCGAAAUCCAAACACAUUGUGGUCUG